AAGCCUGUCAUAACUUUCAAUUGCUAGAAUUCUGAUUUUCUUCCAAACUGUUGCUAGUUUCUUGUUCCAGAUAUGGCCUAUCGUCAAUUCUCAGCUUUUAUGUUACCAUUUUUCUUGAUCGGUGUGUCAUUCCUGAACAGCCAGGAAAUUCUGGUGGAUGCUCGACAGCUUCUGGAAAUAACUCUACCGGAGAUUCCUGAAUUGCCGGAGAUACCAUCUUUUCCUAAAGUUGAACUGCCACCAUUACCUGAAUUGCCUGAACUUCCAGAGCUUGAAGUGCCAGAACUGCCUGAUUUGCUUGACAUCCCUGAUUUGCCUGACCUUGCGAAGCCCACAUUAGCUGCCAAGCCAACUAUUUCAAAGGACAUGAACCCUUUUCAUUCAACCACCAGUCCUUAAAUGAUCGUACCUUCUCAUAUUUCUGCAGUGGAUUUCAUGGUGAACUUCAUCCAAUGCUUCUUGUUUCUAUAUAUGAUGUGCUCUUUGGUGUAGGAGUUCUGCACCUUGUUGCUUGAGCUGAUGGUUUCUGUAAUUUUUUAUUUACUGGUUCCAAUCUGAAUGUGUUUAUAGGAAAGAUUCUUGUGUUUUCUACUAUUUUCCAGUUACUGUGAUGCAUCCAUACUCUAUUGGUUGUUUAGUUUUAUGAUGAAUUAGUGACGGAAUUUCUUGUCCAGUAUAUGCAAAUCUGCCUUAAUGUUACUAAAGACACUAUUUUGUUUUCUUCAAUAUAAUAGAAGCUUAAAGGGCAAGGAAAUGAGUACUUAAAGAGUGUAACAAUGUUCAGUAUUUCCUCGCAAAUUACUAAGAAAUAUAAAUAAAUCAAGUUUCUUAUAAUUUAUUUGAGAUUCGAUUUCAUAGAAGUUUCUGUUUGCCCAAUUCGUAUUUUAAAUGAGUUAAGUUUAAUUUUAAUUUUUAACCUUGUUUGAUAGAUAAGCCAAACUUGAGCUCGCAAAUAGUUAGCUGAUUAAGACUUGAGAGUUGAUUCAUAAAAGUUUAACUCAUUUUUAACUCGUUUGCUAAAUAAAUUAACUUUGAAUUUAUUAUUAAUAAUUGACUUGAGUUUGGCUUUAGAAAUGAAUCAAACUUGAAUUCUUUAAAAUUUAUCAUUUUCAUGGAACAUGAAAGUUUUCUUAGAGAAGUUGGUAGCAGAGCCAAAAAAGUCAAGGGUAGUCUCAUCUUUAUAUUGAGCCCCUACCAUUCUAAAACCAAAGAAGACAAAAGGGACUCUUAAUACUUGAAGGAGAUUUAAGUUGACUCUGGGCAUAGCUUGGAAUGCUUUCAUUUGUCAUGUAGGAAAGCUUCAGAUCAAAGCGCAAUGCUUACUUCUUGAUGCUGACAACAUUUGCAAAUGGACAGCAAAGGACUUAUGUGAUGCAGAGUUCAGUUCCUUCAUAUCUAAAAUUAAAUUACCAUGAAAUUUUGGUAGUCAUUUUGGGAAUACCAAAUGUUACCUUGAUCAAAGUAUUUGUACUGGGUUAUCUUAUUAAGGGUUAAGUGCUCUCAGCGAAUAUGUGCUCGUUCAUUUAAGAAUCGAACUCUUAAUCUCACAUAAAAGAGAAGAGCGACAGACUAUUCAUCCGAACACUCGUUAGUUUUUAAAACUUGAAUUUAGUCUUGAUAUUAGAGAGUCUCACAUAAGAUCAUUGUUUCGUUGUAUCACAUGUCAAAUCCUGCUACUAGUUGUAAAAUCCUGCAAGCAAUGCAGCAGAAGUUACUUUGCUUCUAAACUGCUUUCCAUCUUUUAACACAGAAUUUCAGUUUCACACCAUGUUUAUUUAUCUUACAUCAAAGAUUAAAUACGCACCUCAGUUCUUAGUCUUAAUCAUAAAUUGAAUAAGCAUAUUGAGGAGGCAGAUUCAAUUUUAAAGAUCAGUAACUUUCAUAAAUUGAAUAAGCAUACAUCUGAUUAGGCAUUUCCUUUACUGUUAAAUCUAUAUCUCAGAUUCAUUUGUGGUGUAUGCAUGGAAUAUAUUGAGAACGCAUAAACCUUGAAUUCAAAUGAAUUUUUCCAAAAUCACGUAAAAUUUUUAUUUUUUUUUAAAUAAAAAAGUUUUUUUAAAAAAAUUGAAUUCCUUCAAUUUUAAACAAAAGAAUUUUUUUAAAAAAAUUAAUUAAAUUUUUGUAAAAUUUUUAAUUUCAAAUAGAAGGUAUUGGAAAAUAUGUUACAGUUAGAUGGUAAGUUGGCACAACAAUGAAGACGUUGGUGAGAAUAAGCAUACCUGAGGCUUUCUUCCAUUGACCAUUGUAAUUCACCUAAAACGAAAAAUCAUUCUUUACGAUCUCAUAAUUUGAAUCAGUAAUAUUUGAUUCAAAUCGAAAAAAUCAAUUAAAUCAAUUUGAAAUUUUAGUUUAAUUUUAUAUUUUUUUAUUUAAUUUGAUUUAAUUUUUAAAAAAUUUAUAAUUUCCGUUCGAUUCAAUUUUAAAUAAAAAAAUUCAGCAAAACUGAAUCGAAUCAAUUAGUUAAUAAUAUUGUGUUGUUUUGAUAAUAUAAAAAAUUAGACACUAAUCAAAAUUAAAAUAUUUCAAUUGAAUUUUAAAAUGUUUAAAAAUAAAGUGUUAAAAAUAAAAAAAAUUAUUAAAAAUUUCAAUCCAUCAAAACGAAUUAAACUAACUUAUUUAUAUUAAUUUAUAUUUUAAUUCGAUUUAAUAAUUUUUAUAAAUACUUAAAUUUUUAUUUUUUAUUUAUUUAAUGUUAUUUUAUUUUAAAUAGAACGGCCGAUUAGUACCCAUAACAAGAAACUGGUGAAUUAUGAAAUAGGUAAAUCAGGUGGGAAGUUGAACUACCAAGACAAACUUUUUCUACCAAAUAACCCAUGAAGCUUCUCAAUUCUCCGCUUCCCACUUCUAUAAAUUCUCAACAAAAGUGAAAAUCUAGACACACAACAGCUGCGAGAACUAAUAAGAGAAACUUAAUUGUUACUCAUUUUGCAGCUGGUUGAUCUUGUCUCCAAAUCUAUGGCUAAUCUUUCUUCCCCAUGUUUCAUCAUUCUGCUCUCGAUCAUCACCCUGUCAAUCAACGUAGAUGCGCGGCGUCUUCUAGAGGCAACAUUGCCUGAGCUUCCUAAGCCUGAGUUGCCAUCACUUCCUAAGGUUGAGCUUCCACCAUUACGUGAAGUCCCAAUCUUGCCUAAACCUGAAAUUCCUACUCUUCCAAAACCCGAAUUGCCCGAGUUACCAAAGCCUGAGCUGCCGGCUUUACCCCACUUGCCUGAGCUCCCAAAGCCUACAUUCCCUGUUAUACCCACAAUUCCUAAGGACACCAAACCUCUUCAGUCAACCACCAGUCCUUAAACAAUGAUCUCAUCUCCGUUGAUUUCGCAUUUGUCAGCGUGAUUUAUUGUUUUACGAGUGUCUGCUUCAUGUUUGCUUAUGUUGUAGUGAUUUAUUUUCUAUAUAUGUUUGGAGUUUAUCUUCUUCAUGUAAAGUUGACCUAGCUUAUAUAUAUGAUUAUGGGUAUGAAUAUAAUCAAUGUAAAUAAACAGUUUAUGAUCCAAGCGUCUAUUUUAAUAGUUUUUAUUUUCACAAACACGACAGCCCAUAAAAUUAAACAUGAAGAAAAUCAAGAAUAUGAAAUAUAAUUUUAUUAAAAAAAAUCAAUGCAAAAAAUUUUUUAAUUUAGACUAGCCCAACCAUUUUGGGUAUUGGGAGAGUUAUAAUCCUAUAUAAAAAGUUUUCUUAAAAGAUAAAUGAUUACUUAUUCAGCCAAUAUUAUUUUCUUACUUAAUUUUAGUCAUUACAAAAAAAAACUAUCAGCGACGGAAUUUUCCGUCGCUAAUAGUCCAAAAUUCGUCGCUGAAAUUAUCAGCGACGGAUUUCCGACGGCAUAAAAUACGUCGCUUAAAGUCAUGUCGCUAAUUUUUCCGACGGAUCUGAAAUACGUCGGAAAUAUUUGCGAUGGAUUUCCGACGGAUCAUGCUUCGAAAACUUUAGCGACCAACUUUGUUCGUCGCUAAAUCCGUCGGAAGAAGCAGAAUUCAUCCAAUAACCAAUUCGUCGCUAAUCUUUCAGAAAUAAUUAGUGACAGAAAAAAUCCGUCGGCAAUCCAUCGGAAAUUUCAAAAUAAUAUAGUUUGUUAAAACAUCAUAUAUUCUAUUUUUUAUUGUAAGAAAUCGCAUAAUAACUAAAUAAAAAUAAUAUAGUUUUUCUCAAAUCUAAUUUAAUUUAAUUGUUAAAAAGCAUAUAACUCAUGGAUUCAAUCUCCUAUUUCAAUGGUUAAUUCACAUUUGAUCUAUAUCAACUUUCAGCGGUACAAUUCAAUUCUGUCUUUAAUAAUGGGAAUUCUAUUCUCCAUUUAUUUUCCAGAAAGUGAUUUAUAUGUUAAAAAUAUUUUUCAAAAAGAAGCAAAAAAAAUUAUACCGCUGCAGGCAAGCUCCCCACCUGUGGUUGCAGCAAACAGGACAAUAGCCAACAUAACUCCACGAGUAGAAAGAAAAAAAAAACAAAGUCAAGUAGAUAACUUCCCAUAUCAACAAGGCAAGUCUUACAAGUGAGAAGUUGAACUGACUGCAGGCAAGCUCCCCACCUGGGCUGGCACCCACACAAACUUCAAAACUGGCCUAUUUUCGACUUUCCAAAUCUAUAAAAGCCCAGCAAAAUUGAAUAUUAACACAUACAAGACACAAGACAGAUUUCAACAUUUUAGGAGUUGCUACAACCUCUAUACCUUUCAAAGUAGCUAGCUCUUGAUUCUUGUAUCUGCUUCAAGUUAUGGCUAAAGUUCAUGCCACCGUAGUAUUUCCACUGUUGGUGAUUUCCUUGAUUAGCUACCACAAUUUCCAGGUAAAGGCUCGUCAUCUCCUGGAGACGACGUUGCCUGAGGUGCCUGAGCUUCCUAAGCCUGAAUUGCCUCAACUGCCACUACUGCCUAAGGUUGAGCUUCCACCAUUACCUGAAUUCCCAACCUUGCCAAAACCUGAAUUGCCUGAUUUGCC
rnacentral:lncRNA from 1 species